rnacentral:lncRNA from 1 species
GAGAGAGAUAAUUUCAUGCGGAGAAGAGAGAGUACUAGAGGGAUAUUUGAAAAACAUACGUAUGGGAGUUUGGAUACCGUAUAUUAUUGAAUAUAUUUUUAAGAAGGGAAUUUAAUAGGCCGAUGAAAUUUAUUAAAUAUACCAUUAUAUACCGAUAUACACAUAUACAAUGAAUAUCGUGGUCAAAAUAUACCGAAAAUUAUAAAAUAUACCGUAAACGGUCACCCUGCUUGCAACGGUAAGUGUUAUGUAUUUCAACUAUCGAUAUCUCAUUCUUCAUGGAAGUAUUUUAUUCCAUUCAACUUUAAUAAAGACCAUUUACAUUUGGUUAAACUCUUACACACGACCAUAAAGCAACUAUAUAAGGAGGCCUCGUCGAUGGCAGAGUUACUCGCUGCUUUUCCCAAUUCUCAGUGCUCGUUUGCUUGUCGACAGCACACGCCAUUGCCGUUGCCCUCAGACUUGCUGCGAGAGCCCUCUCACUCGCACUUUUCCAUAAUUUUUGCCGACGGGACCUCCUUAUAUAGUUGCUUUAGGCACACGACCACAUUUUAAACUAAUCAUCAUAUUGUUUAAAUUAUAAGAAAAUACCAAUGCAACACCUUGCAUGGUCUCAACAUCCAGCGAUAGUCAAGAAAAUAUCGACAGCCCCAUCAUCGAGAUGAAGUACCUGGUCAAUGCGGACUCAUCGUCGUGCGACCAUCCAUUUCGCUGUAGCGAUUAAAUAAAAAAAUAAAUAAAAUAAUAAAGACCACACGGAAAAGCAAGCAGAGAGAGUGAGAGAGGUAUAUAUGAUACAAAAUCGAUAGAUAUUUCGCAAGGAAAUAUCCCUCUCUAUGACACACACCCUGCUAACUUUUACCAAAGUAUCUAUCGCUUAUCGAUAACAAGAUUUUCCUGUUUAGCAAAAAUAUAACAUAAAAUAUAAUUUAUUAAAAUGCCGGUGGAUUGGUUUGGUUAUGCAUAUGCUGCAACGGUUGCAGCGGGCGGCAUCAUGGGCUAUGCCAAGGCAGGUGGGUGUUUUCGUUGGAAGAGCAUGGUUCUGCCACAGCGUUCGUUUUCAUGUUCCAUGUAAUCAAACUCAACCCAUAUUUUGCUUGUCAUGUUAUCAGCCUCGAUUCCUUCGCUUGGUGCUGGUCUUGCCUUUGGAGCUCUUCUCGGCUAUGGAGCUCAUUUGAACUCCCAGGCUCAACCACGCCCCAUGCUCCAGUUGGGCACAUCCCUGUUCUUGGCCGGCCUGAUGGGGGUCCGAUGGAAUCGAUCUGGUAAACUCAUGCCUGCAGGCGUUGUAUGUAUGAUAUCCGUAGUCGCUCUAGUGCGGAACCUGGUGUCUUACAACCGCUACUUACCGCUGCCGACAAGCUCUAAGGGCGCUUAAAUCGAACUACGUCAGAUACCCAGCAACUGGACUUGCCCGGAGAUUUUCUUUUAUAGUUUUUCCAUUAUUAAUGCAUACAUUCUUGCGAUAUUUUAUUAAAAUGGUUUUUUUUUU